rnacentral:lncRNA from 1 species
GUUUAAAAUCUGGGAAUGGUUUGGAUUCCAAGAUUUCCAGAUUGCUUUGGAAUCCAGAAAUUCCAAGGGUUUGGACUCAGGGAAUGGUUUGGAAUCUGGGAAUUCCAUGACUUGGAAUUUGGGAAUUCCGUGGUUUGGAAUCUGGAUUCCGUAGAUCCCAACCCUUCCCGGGAUUUCAGGGUUUGCCUUUAUUUCCCUUUUUAUUCCUCGGAAAACCUCUUUUAUUCCUGCUUUUUUUUUUCCUUUGUCCCCCCUUUUUUUCCCCUUUUUCCCCCUUUUUUCCCUUUUUUUCCCUUUUUUCCUUUUCCCCCCCUUUUUUCUCCCUUUUUUCCCCCUUUUUUUCCUUUUUUCCCUUUUUUCCCCUUUUUUCCCCAUUUUUACCUUUUUUCCCCAUUUUCCCCUUUUUUUCAAAUUUUUCCCCUUUUUUCCCCCUUUUUUCUUUUUCCUUUUUUCCCCCUUUUUUUCCCUUUUUUCCCCUUUUUCCCCCAUUUUUACCUUUUUCCCCCUUUUUUCCCUUUUCCCCUCUUUUUUCCCCUUUUUUCCCCUUUUCCCCUUUUUUCCCUUUUUCCUUUUUUCCCCCUUUUUUCACUUUUUUCCCUUUUCCCCCUUUUUCCCCCUUUUUUCCCGUAUUUUCCUUUUUCCCUUUUUUCCUUUUUUCCUUUAUUUUCCCUUUUUUCUUCUUUUUUCCCUUUUUUCCCCUUUUUCCCCCUUUUUUUCCCUUUUUUCCCCCUUUUUCCCUUUUUCCCUUUUUCCCUUUUCCCCCUUUUUUCCUUUUUUCCCUUUUUCCCCUUUUUUCCCUUUUUCCCCCUUUUUCCCCCUUUUUUCCCUUUUUCCCUUUUUUCCCCUUUUUUCACUUUUUCCCUUUUUUUGCCUUUUUCCCCCUUUUUCCUCCUUUUUUUCCCUUUUUUCCUUUUUUCCCUUUUUUUCGUUUUUCCCCUUUUUUCUCUUUUCUUUUUUCCCCCUUUUUUUCCCUUUUUUCCCUUUUUUCCCUUUUUUCCCCUUUUUCCCCCAUUUUUACCUUUUUUCCCUCUUUUCCUUUUUUUCCCUUUUUUUCCCUUCCCCCCCCUUUUUCCCAUUUUUUCCUUUUUUCCCCCACUUUUUUCUCCCUUUUCCCCUUUUUUCCUUUUUUCCC